rnacentral:rRNA from 1 species
UACAGAGGUCCCAAGCGUUGUUCGGAUUUACUGGGCGUAAAGGGUGCGUAGGUGGUCGGGUAAGUGUGAUGUGAAAUCUCCGGGCUUAACCCGGAAAUGGCAUUGAAUACUAUUCGGCUGGAGGGUUGGAGGGGGGACUGGAAUUCUCGGUGUAGCAGUGGAAUGCGUAGAUAUCGAGAGGAACACCAGUGGCGAAGGCGAGUCCCUGGACAACUGCUGACACUAAGGCGCGAAAGCGAGGGGAGCAAACAGG